rnacentral:rRNA from 1 species
GAUGAACGCUAGCGGCAGGCUUAAUACAUGCAAGUCGUGGGGCAGCAGGUCUGUAGCAAUACAGAUGCUGGCGACCGGCAAACGGGUGCGGAACACGUACACAACCUUCCUUUAAGUGGGGAAUAGCCCAGAGAAAUUUGGAUUAAUACUCCGUAACAUAAUGAAGUGGCAUCACUUUAUUAUUAUAGCUCCGGCGCUUAAAGAUGGGUGUGCGGCUGAUUAGAUAGUUGGCGGGGUAACGGCCCACCAAGUCGACGAUCAGUAACUGGUGUGAGAGCACGACCAGUCACACGGGCACUGAGACACGGGCCCGACUCCUACGGGAGGCAGCAGUAAGGAAUAUUGGUCAAUGGACGCAAGUCUGAACCAGCCAUGCCGCGUGGAGGAUGAAGGUCCUCUGGAUUGUAAACUUCUUUUAUUUGGGAAGAAAUCUAUCUUUUCUUGGAUAGUUGACGGUACCAGAUGAAUAAGCACCGGCUAACUCCGUGCCAGCCGCCGCCGUAAGAC